rnacentral:lncRNA from 1 species
GAAAAUAUCAAGAUGGAUUCUGAAUACAUCAGAGUAGGAAAGAAUACCAGCCUGAUUUUAGCUUUGGAGUUCAAUAAGAUAAAGAAGUAAAUUUGCACAAGGCUGUACAACAAACUAUAAAAAUCAACUUCUUAUUCAUCUGGCUGUACUUUUGUCCAGGUCUUUAUUCUACCACCAGGGAAGUCUCUG